rnacentral:lncRNA from 1 species
UGCUGUUUUUUUUUUUCAUUCUGAAUAAAUGUAUAUCUAUAUUUGUCCCGGUCUCCAAGGUUUUAUGGUCUAUAAGAUAAGAUAAGAUAAGAUCAUAUAUAUUUUAACCGGACGACAUCAUAUGACAUCAGUUGGUCAUAGAACACCUUGUGUUACAACCACACAACACAUGUAUUAUGGCUUUUUCUGGCAUUUUAACAAAUACAACAGCUUCUUGAUGCUUUACAUACAAUCACGAUUUGUAGUGUAAUUGAUUUGUUCUGUGGUGUUGUUUUAUUUUCUGAUAACUUAGGUACCGGUGCAGGGACAGUGGUAAACAUUUCAGUACUAGUAUCUACACAGUUGGUGAAUUGGCGACAAAAUUGCUGUUGACUGCAUUUUGUUAUAUAUAAUAUCAUGUUCAAAAAAGGUUUCCAAAAAUUGUUUGUGUUGUUUUGAUACUUG